rnacentral:rRNA from 1 species
AGGAUGAACGCUGGCGGCGUGCCUAAUACAUGCAAGUCGAGCGGUAAGGCCACUUCGGUGGUACACGAGCGGCGGACGGCUGAGUAACACGUAGGAACGUACCCCAAACUGAGGGAUAAGCACCAGAAAAUGGUGUCUAAUACCGCAUGUGCUCUUCGGAGUAAAGCUACGGCGGUUUGGGAACGGCCUGCGCAAGAUUAGCUUGUUGGUGAGGUAAUAGCUCACCAAGGCGACGAUCUUUAGCUGGUCUGAGAGGAUGACCAGCCAGACUGGAACUGAGAACGGUCCAGACUCCUACGGGAGGCAGCAGUAGGGAAUUUUCCACAAUGGACGAAAGUCUGAUGGAGCAACGCCGCGUGCAGGAUGAAGGCCCUCGGGUCGUAAACUGCUUUUAUAUGUGACGAUUAUGACGGUAGCAUAUGAAUAAGGAUCGGCUAACUCCGUGCCAGCAGCCGCGGUAA